GACGAACGCUGGCGGCGUGCUUAACACAUGCAAGUCGAACGGUAAGGCCCUUCGGGGUACACGAGUGGCGAACGGGUGAGUAACACGUGGGUGAUCUGCCCUGCACUUCGGGAUAAGCCUGGGAAACUGGGUCUAAUACCGGAUAGGACCACUGCCUGCAUGGGUGGUGGGGGAAAGCUUUUGCGGUGUGGGAUGGGACCGCGGCCUAUCAGCUUGUUGGUGGGGUGAUGGCCUACCAAGGCGACGACGGGUAGCCGGCCUGAGAGGGUGACCGGCCACACUGGGACUGAGAUUCGGCCCAGACUCCUACGGGAGGCAGCAGUGGGGAAUAUUGCACAAUGGGCGCAAGCCUGAUGCAGCGACGCCGCGUGAGGGAUGACGGCCUUCGGGUUGUAAACCUCUUUCAGCACCGACGAAGCGCAAGUGACGGUAGGUGCAGAAGAAGGACCGGCCAACUACGUGCCAGCCGCCGCCGUAA
rnacentral:rRNA from 1 species